GCCUGAGUAGCGCAGUAGGUAGCGCGUCAGUCUCAUAAUCCAUUGUAAUCUCGAGUAAUCUGAAGGUCGUGAGUUCGAUCCUCACCUCGGGCA
rnacentral:tRNA from 1 species